GAUGAACGCUGGCGGCGUGCCUAAUACAUGCAAGUCGAGCGAACAGAUGAGGAGCUUGCUCCUCUGACGUUAGCGGCGGACGGGUGAGUAACACGUGGAUAACCUACCUAUAAGACUGGGAUAACUUCGGGAAACCGGAGCUAAUACCGGAUAAUAUAUUGAACCGCAUGGUUCAAUAGUGAAAGACGGUUCUGCUGUCACUUAUAGAUGGAUCCGCGCCGCAUUAGCUAGUUGGUAAGGUAACGGCUUACCAAGGCAACGAUGCGUAGCCGACCUGAGAGGGUGAUCGGCCACACUGGAACUGAGACACGGUCCAGACUCCUACGGGAGGCAGCAGUAGGGAAUCUUCCGCAAUGGGCGAAAGCUUGACGGAGCAACGCCGCGUGAGUGAUGAAGGUCUUCGGAUCGUAAAACUCUGUUAUUAGGGAAGAACAAAUGUGUAAGUAACUAUGCACGUCUUGACGGUACCUAAUCAGAAAGCCACGGCUAACUACGUG
rnacentral:rRNA from 1 species